rnacentral:rRNA from 1 species
CCGUCAAUUCCUUUAAGUUUUAAUCUUGCGACCGUACUCCCCAGGCGGUCAACUUCACGCGUUAGCUACGUUACUAAGGAAAUGAAUCCCCAACAACUAGUUGACAUCGUUUAGGGCGUGGACUACCAGGGUAUCUAAUCCUGUUUGCUCCCCACGCUUUCGUGCAUGAGCGUCAGUGUUAUCCCAGGGGGCUGCCUUCGCCAUCGGUAUUCCUCCACAUCUCUACGCAUUUCACUGCUACACGUGGAAUUCUACCCCCCUCUGACACACUCUAGCCGUGCAGUCACCAAUGCAAUUCCCAGGUUAAGCCCGGGGAUUUCACAUCGGUCUUGCACAACCGCCUGCGCACGCUUUACGCCCAGUAAUUCCGAUUAACGCUUGGACCCUACGUAUUACCGCGGCUGCUGGCACGUAGUUAGCCGGUCCUUAUUUUUCCGGUACCGUCAUCCACACCCGGUAUUAUCAGGUGCGAUUUCUUCCCGGACAAAAGUGCUUUACAACCCGAAGGCCUUCUUCACACACGCGGCAUUGCUGGAUCAGGGUUGCCCCCAUUGUCCAAAAUUCCCCACUGCUGCCUCCCGUAGGAGUCUGGGCCGUGUCUCAGUCCCAGUGUGGCUGAUCGUCCUCUCAGACCAGCUACUGAUCGUCGCCUUGGUAGGCCUUUACCCCACCAACUAGCUAAUCAGACAUCGGCCGCUCCUAUAGCAUGAGGCCUUGCGGUCCCCCACUUUCACCCUCAGGUCGUAUGCGGUAUUAGCUAGUCUUUCGACUAGUUAUCCCCCACUACAGGGCACGUUCCGAUGUAUUACUCACCCGUUCGCCACUCGCCACCAGGAUUGCUCCCGUGCUGCCGUUCGACUUGCAUGUGUAAGGCAUGCCGCCAGCGUUCAAUCUGAGCCAUGAUCAAACUCUA